rnacentral:rRNA from 1 species
GCUCCAGACUCCUACGGGAGGCAGCAGUGGGGAAUAUUGCACAAUGGGGGAAACCCUGAUGCAGCGACGCCGCGUGAGUGAAGAAGUAUUUCGGUAUGUAAAGCUCUAUCAGCAGGGAAGAAGAAGGACGGUACCUGAGUAAGAAGCCCCGGCUAACUACGUGCCAGCAGCCGCGGUAAUACGUAGGGGGCAAGCGUUAUCCGGAUUCACUGGGUGUAAAGGGAGCGUAGACGGCCAUGCAAGCCUGGAGUGAAAGCCCGGGGCCCAACCCCGGGACUGCCCUUGGAACUGCAUGGCUGGAGUGCGGGAGGGGCAGGCGGAAUUCCUGGUGUAGCGGUGAAAUGCGUAGAUAUCAGGAGGAACACCGGCGGCGAAGGCGGCCUGCUGGACCGCGACUGACGUUGAGGCUCGAAAGCGUGGGGAGCGAACAGGAUUAGAUACCCUAGUAAA